UUCAUUGAUUAUGCAUUUUACUUGGUGUAGUAAUGAAAACGCAGCAGAUUUUUAAUUUCUAUUAUUACAGUAGAUAUUCCACUUGCUAAUUGUGUCUAUCGAAAGCCGUCUAUUGUCUUAUCAUUGAGAUAACACUUGCUACGUAUCUCUGUUGGCUGUUUUAUGUCAUCAAAUUGAUCCAGGUUGAUACUUAUGUUCAUCAUACAACACGAUAUCCGACAGAAACAUGUGGCUAGUGAUACCCCUAUGAUAAAACAAGAUACGAUUUUUGGUAGACACGAUCAGUAAGUGAAUCAUCUGCAGGAAGAAAAAAGAAAUGAAAUUUCACAGUCGUAUUUGUGAUCCACACCUUCAAAUGUAUGACUGAAAUAUUUCCACGAAGGGAAAAGUCGUAUGUGGAAGACUCGUGAAUACAACAUAAUUUCAUUAAUAGUUCCACUCAGUUAGGCAUGACCUGGGGCUCAAAUGCAGUGACUUAACACGUUUGCUAAGAUAGUACAAUGUUCGUUAUUGUCCAAUAUUCUGUAGUUCGACAUGUUACAUAAUAUCUAAAGGUGGAGGAGUCGAUGUCUCUAUAAGUAGACACAACACAAAGUUGCGUAAUAUAACUUUAAAAGCAAAAUAUAUCGUAAAGAAUAAUUUCUCUGAAUAUCAGACAUCUGUGGCAUAAACAAGUUUUUCCUGCAGAUACAUUCAUGAAUAUUGAUCAUCUUUCGAAGACUAAUGGAAGAUGUUAUAAAUAAUCGACACAAGCCUGCUUAUAGAAUAUAUCUAUGAGAUCAUCCAACCAAAUCUUGUGCUGGUGAUACGAACAUAAACUAUAGAGUUCACACUCUCUAUCAAUGUACGAGAAAAGCUACACACUUCUCCAAACUGAUCUACAAUAAAUGUUUAUUUUGAAGCUA